UAGGGAAUAUUAGUAAUGGGCGCAAGCCUGAACUAGCAACGCCGCGUGUGCGAAGAAGGCCUUCGGGUUGUAAAGCACUUUUUGAGAGGAUGAGGAAGGACGGUACUCUCAGAAUAAGUCUCGGCUAACUACGUGCCAGCAGCCGCGGUAACACGUAGGAGGCAAACGUUAUCCGGAUUUACUGGGCGUAAAGCGCGUGUAGGUGGUUUGGUAAGUAGGGCGUGAAAGCUCCUGGCUCAACUGGGAGAGGCCGUUCUAAACUGCCGAACUAGAGGAUGGUAGAGGGAGGUGGAAUUCCGGGUAUAGCGGUGGAAUGCGCAGAUAUCCGGAGGAACACCAGUGGCGAAAGCGGCCUCCUGGACCAUUCCCGACACUCAGACGCGAAAGCUAGGGUAGCAAACGG
rnacentral:rRNA from 1 species